UAAAGAGUUGUUGAGCUUGCGUCCAAACAGCUUUGCAGGUUUUGUGAGUACGGAAGACAUUCCUAAGAGAUGAAUGGAUGGUGGCUCGGAUUAUACAACACAACUGAGCGUCAACCUUCUUCCACAGAGGACGAUCGACGUCUUGAAUAUCUUCUUCAGUUUGAGUGAGAUGUGUCUCAUAUCCCUGUCCAAUAAGCCAAAGUUCAAUGUGAGAUGCCCAGGAAAUAUAAUUUUUACCAUCCAACUGCUCGGAAGAAAGGGGUGCAGUAAUAUGGUUGGUAAAGAUUGAGGUAUCUGGCUUUGGGGCGCCAGAUGUAGCCAUGAAUAGAACUGUGGACCGGACUGCGCUUGCUAAUGGAUGGGUCGGGGAGGAACUGGAGCACCGCUGUGACGAUUUCAGACCUGUCUGUUCUCGACGAAGAGGAGAGCAAAAUGGCUUCUUUGUCAAUAGAUAGUGACGAUUUAUCAAUAAUAUUACAGGCAAAGCCUAAGCCUGAAAAAGUAUAAUCAACUGCAAUCUCCACAAUAUGACAAGCAGGAAAAUCUCAGUGUUGAUGAUGCCCUGUACAAACGGCUGCAAACUGCUCUCAAUGAAUUGGAAAACUCAAGAAGGGGAGCGCAGCUGUGCCCUAGCAGCGCGAGAAGAGGAAAACGCGAAGAAGGGCGUCGGGCGUCGGGCGUCUGGUGUCUGGCGUCCACGAAACAGCAGGCGGGCGUCGGGCGUCCACGAGGCGGAGCUCAGCGUCCACGAACCAGCAGGCGAAGCUCCACGCCGCGAGAGGGAGAGGUGGCGUCGGGUCGGGCGUCCACGAGGCGGAGCUCAGCGUCCACGAACCAGCAGGCGAAGCUCCACGCCGCGAGAGGGAGAGGCGGCGUCGGGUCGAGCGAACUCGCGCGGUGCGGCGCUGGAGAAGAACUCGCGCGGCGCUGGAGAAGAACACGCGCGUCGCUGGAGAAGAACCCGCGUCGCUGGAGAAGAACUUGCGUGUCGCGUGGUGCGGCGCUGGAGAACUCGCGCGGUGCGGAAGAGAAAGGCUCGGCAGAAAGAGACGGCGCGGAUAGAGAAAAGAAAUUAGGGUUUUAACUUGGCUCUGAUACCAUGUUUAAAGUAAAACCUAGAAUCUCGUGUCUCUUUAACCCCCACGAGUUAGGCCUUUAUAUAGGAAAGUAGAUAUACACCAAAAGACACAAAUACCCUUUUACUUAUUCUAACACCUGGAAUAUCCAGUUCAACUUGUAAGUUAUACAACAGGUUUUUAACCAGUCGAGGGUGUUGACCGCUUUGUGCUGCGAAAAUUUUUUCAGUGGUAUCCGUAUAGAGCACAUGAGCAAUCUGUGCAGUAGUCAAAAUAUCCUCGUCAUCCUCCUCUUCACUUAUAUGAGUGGUAGCAAGAUUAGCAAAAUCCCUUUGAAGAUCAUGUUCUAGAAUAAGUUGUUCAUAAAGGUUCUUAUAAUAGGAUACUUCUUGCUUUAAUCUUUCCAUCUCUAAUUCACACCAGGAAAUGUAUUUUUGUUGCUCUUGUAACAAUUUAUUAGGAAAGAAUGAUGUAGGAGCAGGGGGGUAAUAUAGAUACCCGUUGGCCAAAGUAAUAUGGGCCACAAAGAUUACAUCCGGUAAUAAGGCAAUUUGGGCAAUGGAUUUGCACCCGCUUUUGUGUGUCACGUUGGCAUCCCGUACAUUUGGAUGGUUGCGGAGGAUAGUUGUCCCCAUUUGCUAUCCACUGGUGGAUACAUUCAUAUUGCUGAUCCGUUAUUCGAAUUUGCGGUCUAUAACCUCCAUCAACUUGUCCUAACAUAAAAAUGUUUUCAGAGAGUACCAAUGUUUGGAUUGACCUUUGUAGGUCAUUAGUCUCUUCUCCUUCAGAGAUACUGUAAAUAGCAUCACUAAGGUUCUCUCCUUCCUGGACGGAGAGUAUGUCGCAAUCUUCAAGAAUAUCCAGUUGCUCGAACAUGGCAACCCUUUUGCUGCUUCUUUUAUCAUUUGGACAGUCUCUUGCAAAAUGGCCUUCCUGCCCACAAAGAUAGCAUUUGCAUUUUUUAUUUUUUAAUAAAUGCUUAUGUUUUUCCACUCGGGCAUGUGUGUCAUGAGGCUUUCCUUUAUAAGUCUUACUUUGUCGAAGGCCAUAUUUCUUUGCGCCAGACCCUUGAUAAUAUCCAGGGAUAGGUAUUUGACUGCAAAAUGAGAGAUCUUUUAGAGACCUCUUAAAAGCCGCAUCCUUGCAUUCCUGAUCUAGGAAUUUAUAGGCAAACAAUACUCUUGGAAUUACACCAAUUGUCAAACCUUCGUAUUUUGUAUCAAAAGCUUCUUUGAUUUGCUUACCCAGAUCACCAGGCAUUUUGAACCAGAAUUUUUCAGAUAAUUCUGGCCCUGUAUAUAAGCGUUUUGUUUUUGAUGCUAGGCGCAUAUAGUCAUUCAUAUACUGGAGAAUAUUCUUCAUAUUGUCACAUGAGAGCUUUUCUAAAUCUCUGUAUGCUUCAUCCUGUAUUACAGUUGAUCCUUGUGUAGGGAAAAAGACUCUUCUCAUUUGAGAAAGUAUAUUUUGAGUUCUUCGUCUUCCAUCCACUGCCUGAAUAAGAGCAUCAUAUUCUGUUGGAUACAUCAUACGCCACUGGACCUAUACCAGUUUCUCCAUUUCACCAAGUAGAUUUUCCAUAUAUUCAAUUUUUUCAGCAGGAUCAGUAAAUCCUUGAGCGACAACAUGGUUGAGAGUAAUAGAUUCCCAUCUAGAGAAAACAUCUUGAAAUAAUCCAGGUUGCUCUGGUAUUACAAAGAUUGCUCCUCUCUGUUGUUGUGCUGAAGUUUGCUGUGGCUGGGAGGGACCUGUAUCUUGCACUGCUGGAGGGUAACCUAGUAAUCCCAUAGUUGUAUCAGCUGGUGGUUGAUAAGAAUGGCCAGAAGCAGUUCUAAAUGGUUUGGGGUUAAUCCCUUAGGCUCU